GUCGGUCCGUACAUGACCUGGGCCUGAGAAGCAGUGAUGAAACCUACAAAAGCCUUCUGGAAGUCUAUGACUACUGCCUGUAACCUGUAGAACAAUCCUAAAUGCCAUCGGGCCUUAGCCUUGAUUUGACAUCUCAACCCCUUACCCCACUUCUCUGGAUGUUUCGUGUGACCUACCAGGCUGGCAUGGUUGACAGCAAAAUUGGCCCCCAUGAUAUAAUCCUUCUGGGCAGUUAGACUCAGUUUCACGGACAUUCCUCCUCAACUUCGGCCCCUCAGAGAUGCUACCAGUCUCUUGUGAUUCAGCAAGCACCUGUGGAAAAAAAAACAUACUAAGGAUCUUAGUGAUAUCAGAACCAAGAGAUGUGAGAAAUAUGUGUCACCCACCCGAAGUGACUGGAUCUAUGUACAGGCUUAGCAAAGUCAUGCUGAUGAUCGUCAGGGGAGGGGCACCCUGUGGUUCUGCAGGUCCAACCACAGGUUUUUCUAGCCCACACUACAGACACAGGGAAGCCCGGCUCCACUGUUCCAUGCCUGGUGAUGGGGGAGGAGAAAGGGGAAUCCCUUACGGUCUCUCAGUCUCAGGUUCUUCAUCUCAACAGUGGAAAUAAUCCCUACCACACAGAUCUGAUGUGAGAAUUAAAUGGAACUAUGUGUUUAAAGCUCUCAGCACAACACUGGGUACUUAAAUGUUCCCUGAAAGUGACAGUAUUGCUAUUGUUACUAUUGACAUGAAGUUCUAACAACAAAAUAAAGGGAAAAGUUCAAAACAAACAUAGUUUGAAACCUAGUUUUCACCACCAAUAGUGACUAACUUUUCUGUGCCUUAAUUUCCUUAUAUGUUAAUGAGAUUAGUAUUUUCUGUCUUUGAAUGUUAAUCGUGAAGAUGAAAGUGGUCACUUCUAUCAGACUUGAUACUUAAUCAGAGCAUGUCUAUGCUUCCUUCUUGCUACCCAACACAGAAUCAAAGUUUUGAUCAAUGUCAGAUCAAUGUUUUACUGUUGACCAAGGAUACAAUAAACUUCCCAUUAAAUCCA